UUUUAUAAUAGGUGUUUUCUGCCCAGUGCGAAAGUAAAUGGCCGCGGUAUUCUGACCGUGCAAAGGUAGCAUAAUCAUUUGUCCUUUAAUUGGGGACUGGAAUGAAAGAAAGUUCGAAACUUUAGCUGUCUCUUUUUUAUUUUAGAAUUUUCUGUUUUUGUGAAGAAGCAAAAGUUGUAAAAAAAGACAAGAAGACCCUUUUAAGCUUUACUUUUUAGGCUUUCCAUUUUCUUUUAAGUAUUUUUAGAAUUUUUAAAAAGUUUGGUUGGGGUGACUGAAGAAGACUAAAUCUUCUUUAGUUUUUUUUAACUUUAGGUUAAAUUUUGACCCGGUAAAUAUCGGUUGAAAGAAUUAGUUACUAAAGGGAUAACAGCGUAAUUUUUUCAGAGAGUUCUUAUUGAAGAAAAAGAUUGCGACCUCGAUGUUGACUUGCUUUAUCCUUUAAAGGUGCAGAAGCUACAAGGGUUGGUCUGUUCGACCAUUAAAAUAGCACGUGAUCUGAGUUCAGACCA
rnacentral:rRNA from 1 species